rnacentral:rRNA from 1 species
AGCGAACGCUGGCGGCAGGCCUAACACAUGCAAGUCGAACGAACUCUUCGGAGUUAGUGGCGGACGGGUGAGUAACACGUGGGGACGUGCCUUUUGGUUCGGAAUAACUCAGGGAAACUUGUGCUAAUACCGAAUGUGCCCUUCGGGGGAAAGAUUUAUCGCCAUUAGAGCGGCCCGCGUCUGAUUAGCUAGUUGGUGAGGUAACGGCUCACCAAGGCGACGAUCAGUAGCUGGUCUGAGAGGAUGACCAGCCACACUGGGACUGAGACACGGCCCAGACUCCUACGGGAAGCAGCAGUGGGGAAUCUUGCGCAAUGGGCGAAAGCCUGACGCAGCCAUGCCGCGUGAAUGAUGAAGGUCUUAGGAUUGUAAAAUUCUUUCACCGGGGACGAUAAUGACGGUACCCGGAGAAGAAGCCCCGGCUAACUUCGUG